GGGUCCCUGGCUUAUUCGCCAGACUUACAGUCCUCGAGCCGAUAAUAUGUAAUCGGGGGUUUCUUGUAACGUUGGUGUGCAAGUCCGGAUUUAACCGGGAAGCCUGAAACGGUGCCGAAACCACCACCUUGAACCAUCGGGUUCAAGGGCAGUUCUGUCAGCGGUAUGCCGGGGAUCCU
rnacentral:other from 1 species